AUUGGUUGGAAAGGGUAGAG
rnacentral:misc_RNA from 1 species